CUGCAGGCAGGGGCAGUGCGCAGAGCUGCCUGGUUGCCCGUGAGCUUAGGAGCUGGACAUGCUGGCCCCUUCCGGGAGCCUCCCAAGGUCAUUUCUAAUCCCGUGAACCAUUGACCAGCCAUGCUUUGAGGCAAAGAACUCCAAUCUUGGGGUGAAGGAUCUUCCCACGUUCCUGAGAGAGAAGAUGAGGAGCUACCUGAAGAGUGAUUGUAGGACUUUGGAUAUUAGAGGAGUUGAAGGGAACGCAUACAGUAGACCUGAUGACCACUGAAGGUGAAAGGCAUCCCCCAAGGAUCAGUGGUUCAGCCUGCCUCCAGAGCAGAACUGCCGGAAUAGUGAUGAAGUAUGAUGAGGUCUAUCUCCCACUCAUGGUCUCGAAAGAAGUGCCUGCUGAGUGUGUCUGCCAUCACAUUCUGAACUCCUGGGAGGGGGUCCAGGUGGAUUUUUGAAUGAUCAGUUGCAGGCCCAAUUUGAGAUAGAGGUCUAUGGCUUUGCAAGUUGCCCAUGAAGUUGACCUUUCAGAAGCCAACUGUCUAGGUAAGGGAGCACCAGUAUUCCUUUUCUGCGGAGCUGUGCCACUGCUACUGACACGACCUUUGAGAAGAUCCUUGGAGCAGAUGACAGGCCAAAAGGGCACUCCCUGUACUGAAAAUGGGCCUGAGAGUAAAACAUAGGAAUCUUUUUUGUGUGACGGGUGGAUUGCUAUAUGGAAAUAGGCAUCCUGAAGGUCAAGGGCUGUGAAUCAGUCCCCUUGGUCCAAUGAUGGAAUUAUUGCUGCAAGUGCCACCACUUUGAAUUUUUGUGCCUUCACAAAGGUGUCACAGGAGGGGUCUCCAACUGCCACUUUUUUUUCUGGAACCAGGAAAUAUCUGGAAUAAAACUCCUUCCCUCUGUGCUGCAUGGGAACUGGUUCUAUAGCAUCCAGGAGUAGAAGAGAGUCUAUUUCCUGUUGUAGCAGAUUCUCAUGGGAGGAAUCUCUGAAGAGGGACAGGGAAGCAGGGUUGUCAGGUAGAAGAGAAGUGAAGUGGAUGGAGUACCCUAUGGAGAUGAUUUCCAAAACCCACUUGUCCAUAGUGGUGGACUUCCAAGCCUGCCAGAAGUGAUAAAGGUGGUUGUCGAAGGGAGGAAGGCAGGUGAAACGUUGCAGAUAGUAUUGAAAGUUUUUGGCAGCUCAGAACCUGGAUCAUGCCAUCUAAAUUGGUGCUUCAAGAUGGAGGUUGUGAGGUUGAGGGUUGGGAGGUGGGUGGUUUUCUCAUCAGGAACCUCUGUCCCAUGCAUUGAGGUUCAUAUGACCUGUGCAAACUUGAGAAUUGGGUGGGCUGGGAUCUCUGUGCUGUCUGAGUCCUGCUAAACUUUCUCUUUUGUGUAGAUGUAUAGAUCUCCAGAGAACAUGAAGUGGCCCUGGAGCCCUUUAACAUGUCAGAGAUUCACCAGUGCUGUCAGCAAGCAGUUUAGUGACAUCAAAAGGCAGGUCUUCAGUCAUGUUCUGGACCUCCUUUGGAAAUUCUGAGAGCUGAAGCCAGGAGGCCCUGCUCAUGCCUUCUGCUGUAGAAAUCUAAUGAGUGGCAGUAUCAGUAGUAUCGAGAGAAGCCUGCAGAGAAGUUCUGGCAAGCAGUUGGCCUUCUGCAAUAAUUGCCUGGAAUUGCUUUGUGUUCUGCUGGUACAUGUUCAGUAAGGAAGUUCAGCUCAGCAUAAUUGGUGUGGUUGUACUUUGCCAUUAAUGUCUAGUAGCUGGUUAUUCUGAAUUGUAAAGUAACUGACAAAUAUGAUUUUUUUUCAUAGGUUGUAUAUCAUGAGUCAGCGACCUUUCAGAAGUGGUGUGACGAGUCUUCAUUUAUUCACUCUGAUUUAAGGU